rnacentral:rRNA from 1 species
CCUAUCCACCGCGGGCGCAGGAGGCUUGAGGGGAGCUGCCCCUAGUACGAGAGGACCGGGGUGGACGCACCUCUGGUGGCCCGGUUGUUCCACCAGGAGCACAGCCGGGUAGCCAUGUGCGGACGGGAUAACCGCUGAAAGCAUCUAAGCGGGAAGCCCACCCCAAGAUAAGGCCUCCCGAGGGUGGGGCAACCCACCCCCUGAAGGGCCCGGAGAGACCAUCCGGUUGAUAGGCCAGAGGUGGAAGCCCAGUAAUGGGUGGAGCCUACUGGUACUAAUCGCCCGUGCGGCUUGGCUGCAA